GGAUUGUGGCUCAGUGGUAGAACACUUACCUACCAUGCAUGAGGCACUGGAUUCGAUCCCCAGCACCA
rnacentral:tRNA from 1 species